GAGUUUGAUCCUGGCUCAGGAUGAACGCUGGCGGCGUGCUUAACACAUGCAAGUCGAACGGGAAUUACUUUAUUGAAACUUCGGUCGAUUUAAUUUAAUUCUAGUGGCGGACGGGUGAGUAACGCGUGGGUAACCUGCCUUAUACAGGGGGAUAACAGUCAGAAAUGGCUGCUAAUACCGCAUAAGCGCACAGAGCUGCAUGGCUCGGUGUGAAAAACUCCGGUGGUAUAAGAUGGACCCGCGUUGGAUUAGCUGGUUGGUGGGGUAACGGCCCACCAAGGCGACGAUUGGUAGCCGGACUGAGAGGUUGAACGGCCACAUUGGGACUGAGACACGGCCCAGACUCCUACGGGAGGCAGCAGUGGGGGAUAUUGCACAAUGGGGGAAACCCUGAUGCAGCGACGCCGCGUGGAGGAAGAAGGUUUUCGGAUUGUAAACUCCUGUCGUUAGGGACGAUAAUGACGGUACCUAACAAGAAAGCACCGGCUAACUACGUGCCAGCCGCCGCGGUAAUUC
rnacentral:rRNA from 1 species